rnacentral:tRNA from 1 species
GCUGUGAUGGCCGAGUGGUUAAGGUGUUGGAUUUGAAAUCCAGUGGGGUUUCACCGCGCAGGUUCGAACCCUGCUCUCAGUG